CGGAAAGAAGGAAGGAAAGAGGAAUCAUGGGAUAUGAAGAAAGGAAGGAAGGAAGAGCGAUGGAAAGAGGGAAGAAUGGAAGUGAUAGAGAGAAAGAAGCUGAAUGGAGAGACGAGACUAAAAGAAAGGGGAAAUUCUAAGAGCUGAGACACUAUUUUUACCGAGACAUUUGUACUAAUUCCAUGUUCUCAUUUUUUUAAUUUCAUUUCUCUUUUAUUUAUUCGAAUUAUUUAAAUUAUAAAUACUUUUCUAGAAUAUUAGAUAAAUGAGUUGUUUUUUUUACUUAUUUACUAUAUUAUUUAUUUAUUUAUUUAUUUUCGCAGUGAAAGGAUUUGAGUAAAACAGCAGAUCAAGCAGCAGGUUUAAUAAUUGAAUACCUAUUACACAGAUCAGCGUCAUCCUUUAUUUAUUUAUUUAUUUAUAUAUUUUAAAUCCUUGUCCUCCCCUCUGUCUCUGACUCACCCCGCUGUUUCUGUCCAUAAUCCCUUCUCUAUUUUAUUAGCCCUUUUUAUUGCUCAGUACAGCAGGAUUUGACAAAUGCAAUGGGGUUUUGGUGACAGGGUCGUGCUUGUCCUCGCACCCUUUCACCCCGGGCACCCAUCAGCGCCUGCUGACGGCUUCAUCAACACACUCACCCCCUCCUCCUUUUACCCAUCCUCCUCCUCCUUCUCCUCCUCCACCCUUCCCUCCUCCCCAUGUUCCCUCCUCCCUGUUUUUGAGCGUUUGUUCCUAGCAUCUGUUUCGCCUGGUGAUUAAUUGCAAUUAGCGAGAGGGUUGAAAGCCCGUGGAAGAAUGCAGCGGUGAGCAGACACAUCAAGAUUAAUGAGGGAAGGCAGUUGUCAGAAGGACGCACGCCUGCGAUGGCAGGGCACCUGGGGGGGAGGAGGAGGAGGAGGAAGGGAGGGUGCAUUUGUAUAGGGCAGAAGCAAGUGUGUGUGUGUGUGUGUGUGUGUUUGAAAUACCCUCCGCAUGUUUACUGCUUAUCAUAUCUCUAGGCUUUUUUUCCUCCCAGCGAGAGGCAGUGUGUCCCUGCAGGAGGAAGAACAGAGGAUAGACAGAAUGAGACAAGAAGAGUGAGAAGGGAGGGAAGAGGAGUCAAGGAAGGGAGGAGAGAAGAGGAGGGCAAACGCAACCCCGGGGGGCUGAUUAAAUAUGGAAAUUUUAAUUGCUAAUUGACCUUUAUUAAUCAGAGCACAGAAGUGUAUCUUUUGUACUUACUGUGGCUGAGAUGUGAGUUUAUCAGAGAGAGAGAGAGAGAGAGAGAGAGAAAGUAAGCAUGUGCAUGCUACUGGAGUUAGGGGUCCUAGCCUGUUAAUUUUUUCUGCUUACAAAUUAAAGAUGUGUCUCAAGUAUGAACAUGGUAGAGGUAAUAAGCUAUAAGGUAUACUAUAUUUUAUACUGUAAUCUAUAGGCGUAUGAUACUACACUAAGCUAUAAGGUAUACUAUAUUUGAUACUAUAAUGUAUAGGUGUAUGAUACUAUACUAAGCUAUAAGGUAUAUUUUAUACUAUAAUGUAUAGGCGUAUGAUACUAUACUAAGCUAUAAGGUAUAUUUGAUACUAUAAUGUAUAGGCGUAUGAUACUAUACUAAGCUAUAAGGUAUAUUUGAUACUAUAAUGUAUAGGCGUAUGAUACUAUACUAAGCUAUAAGGUAUACUAUAUUGUAUACUAUAUUGUAUAGGUGUACAAUACUAAACUAUAAGAUACCCACUUUCAGAUUCAAUUAUGCCACAUUCUGUCCUAAAAAUAGCUUUAAAUGUUUAUGCACUGUGUAUUUACUAAACUUGGGACAAUUAGCAGCGACCAGGUGUCAGGUCAGCCAAAAGAGCAAAUACAGCGCAAUUACACACUUAUUAUAUGAUGUAGCCUAUUUUGUAAUAAAUAGCCGUUUAAUUGGGGCUAAAUCAAUCGGUUGAGCUCUUUUUAAAGCACCUACUACAGUGCUUUAGUUGCUUUUGGCCCCAGAUGAAAGUUGUUGUUUUUUACACUUGGAAUUUUUUAAUCCUUUAUUACAGUUUGCAAACUAUUAGCAACGAUUAAAUAAGCUAAAAUAUAUGCGGGUAGACGUUUACUAAAAUUUGUAACCUCUUCAGGAGGCUGACGCUAACGUACACUGAGUCAACGUGAGAGUCGUUUAAGAAGUUAUCGAACGUCAAUAAUCGAAUUAUCAAAUAAAAUAUCAAGUAUUAAACCAGGAUGUCUGUGGAUCUCUACUGAUCCCGAGUAACAAUCUCUCCUACAUUCCUCCAUUUUAUUCCGCAUCCGCCAAGCCGAGGCUUCGCGUCUCUAAGCCACGCAUCAUUAGACAGCGUGUGUAAGUGUAUAAGACACGGCUGUAUCCGGCUACACAGCGCUGUGGCCAGCGCCGGUGUGCAUUACACAGCCCACUAACCACUGCUGACUAAAUCAAAUUCAACUUAAUCGACUUAGGGCUUUAGUAAUUGGAUGUUCUGUGAUCUGACGGCCCUGACUAGAGCCAACAUGAGGCUAACGAGGAGAAAUCAGCACUGUGCAGUGUGACACACACACACACACAAACACACACGCUGAACUUAUGAGCGUUUUUCCAUUGUACAGAGAUCCGAAACUUUGAGCGCCAGCCAGCUUUAACUCUCGUUCCAAUGAGAAGUGAGUGAUUUAUUUUCAGGAGCUAAACGUGUGAAAGCCUAACUAGUUCUCUCUCGUCCCAGAGGUUCCACGUGGUUGGUUUUUUUGUUUCCUGUCUAACAUCAGCACCGACAGGAACUAAAGAGAAGUAGGAAGUAAUAAAGUACAAUUAUUUUGCUACAUUAAUUAUGUUUGUUACACUAAUUAUGAUUCUGAGUAUCUGCACUGUACUUGAAUUCUUCUUUCACGUUUUCCUACACAGAUGAUAUAACGAGGCGAGUCGCUAAUAAUACGCUGACGUAAUUAGUUCUAUAUUUCGACAUAAAAAUGGCGGUUAAACAAUAACGAAAAAGAACAUCCUGUAAGUGCACGUCUUGCGACGUGACAUUGGCUCUUUCGUAUUACUUCACCUUAGCUAUUUCACCAUUAAGCAGUUCACGGUAGCUAGUUUAUUACAAUGUUAGCUAGUUUAUAUCGUCAGAGUUAUUAGGUGGCAUUAGUUCGUUUCAGUGUUCGCUUGAGGUGCAAACAUUUACGGUUUAGCCAAAGAAUUAACAAGUUUUUAUCACCGCUUUGACGAUAUCUGACUUUUCUGGUUUUUCAGCUAAAACAGCGGUAAAGGAGGAUAAAGAUCGACCUGCAGGAAAGCCGAUUCACUGAAGGGGAAAGGGCACAGGACACGAAACAAAUGUAAUCUGCGCUAAAUUUGACCUGUGAAUUCACCGAGUCUUUGGUUUGUAAAAGAAAUGGAAGAUUUGCGUAGUAUUAAUUCGCUUGUUUUCGUCUUGUUGCGUGGUAGAAUUUAUCGUUGUAGGAUCACGUUGUAGGAUUUAAGCCACAGGCAUUUUUUCCUCAUCAGUGAUGGUUUUUUUUUUUUUUUUUUGUAUUCUUCGUCUUAUUAUUAUUAUUAUUAUUUAAUAAGAGUCUGUAGUUUUAUAAAGACUUUGAGUAAACAAUUUGCCGUGCUUGUGUUUACAAGAGGAUUUAUUUAUUUAUUUAUUUAUUUAUUUAUUUAUUUAUUGCAGCACAGCUUUUCCAUUUUCACUUCAGUAAGGAAUAGUUUGUACUUCUUCCACUUCUGGAACUAAUGGUACUCUGGAGCGGUGGAACUCUACCAUAGCAGGGCUAAAAGAAAAGUGCUUUAAUGGUGGUUCAGUGGACCUGAUGGACUUGAGUAUGUGGGGAAAAGAAAAGAGAAAACAGCGAAAUAUAAUAUUCAUGCUCAUAUGUAUAGAAAUACUCUUAAUUUAAUCUUAGUUUAAUUUACACAGGAUACGGUAUAUCGUGGUUCUGGAACCGUUGGGCCAAUUCUCAUGAGUUAUUUACUCAAGUCAAGUGGGUUUUAGUGUCAAUCUUAGGUUCCAGAAAUGUUCUCUGGUCGAUGAAAGUGUUCCUGUGUUGGAAAUGCAUGUAAAGAUCCCGGCUAUACAUUGGAAAAAAUCUUCCAUUCUCACAUCCAUGAAAGCCAGCCAGCAAAUUAACUUCAACGCCAAGCCUUUACUUCAACUAGUUGGCGCUGUGUGUGCUAAAAGUAAAGACAGCACAAACAAGACCAAUGUCCAAGACCGUCAAUAAGUCAGAGUCAAGUCCACGUCAAUACAGGGAAUAUCUUGAGACCGAGCUCGAGUCCUAUAGCCAUAGCAUGUUCAUAAAUACACCAAACAAUAAAUACACAAUAAGGACAGGGCUAAUAGAAGAAUGGUGGCUGCAGUCACUGUUGAGACAGGAAGCCUCUUUCAGUCUCUUUAUCUCUCAUUCCCUCCUCCUGUCUGUCUCUCUCCCUCUCUGGAGGAUCAGACUAAAAGCGUUUCAGCUCGGGUAAUCCUGUUAGCCGCGCUCCCGUGUUCAGACAGGACGGCUGCAGGCUCCUCUGAGGCCACCUCUCGUUUUUGUCCUCCUCCCUCCGUCUUUCAUAGCUUUGCGAAACACUGACCAGGACCCCUCAGCCUCAGAGGCACGACCUGACGCGCAGGGGGGUCGGGCGGUUGAAAGCGAGAACACUGAGCCGCUCAGGCAUGAGAGAGCCGAACUGAACUAGCCUUCUGGAUGGAGCUGGAUUUAGCAUAACAGUACACACACACCAUCUGUGCAUACAAACAUUCACACACCCUCUAAAACCUUCACAUCAGGGGUAAGAGCCACUUCUUUUUCCCUGAAUCAGCACUGCUCACUCAAGGUCUUUAAAUCAAACACACUGGCUCAUGCUGGCUCCUGGUAAACCCCGCCCCAAAGCAGGAUGUAGUGAGCAGUAUGCUAGCGUGAAUGUUUCCAGAAUUUCCAGAACCAUUUCAAAUGCAAACUAAUAGAGGUUUCAUUUUUAUCCAGUAGGGGGCGCUCUAUUUUACACACCGCUCGUGUCCCAGGCUGACUCGUCGUAUGGUGUGUGUGUGUGUGUGUGUGUGUAUGGUUCCUGAGGGACAUCUGUGAUUGAGUUCUGUGCUAUAAAGCUGUCCAUAUGCCAGACGCCACGUCUGAGAGGCGAAAUGCUGAGACGCAGGAAACGAAUGAUUAUCUGUCACAAGGCAGUGCGCUGCUUUUAUCAUGCGCUAUAUCUUCCUCAGUUAGCAUGCUGGGUGAAAUAUAGCGUAGCUUUUUACAGCUCUGCGCCCCGUCCGAGGCCCUCGGACAGUUCACUACACACUAAAUUGUCGUAGUUUAUCCUGAUCAGUCCCGUCUGUCUGUGCUCACGGCAGAAAGCUGUUACUUUGCAGUGUUUGUUUGGAAAUUAAUUAAGGUUAGGGUUAGCGUGGUGCUUCAGCAAAACAUGGACCGAUAAAUUUGUAGUACUUUUUUAUAGGCAGC
ensembl:lncRNA